CAAUCCACUGCUUCUGUUUUUUUCUUGCUCAUUCUAGACUUCUUCAUCAGUCUUCAAGAAUGACUGCUCUAAACCCAAAGCUUUCCAUCUUUAAUUCAGCAAAGAUUAAAUUGAAGCUAGAAGAGGCGAAGGAAGCUACUCUUACUUUUAAUCUUUGAUUCAGCAAUCGACAAUCUACCUUUUACUCUUGCUGUGCAUUUAUUUUAGCGGCUUUGGGUUGAUGAAUUAAUUGAUUCUGUGUUGCUCAAUUCAUCGUUUUUGAAUGGGUUUUGUGUUGCUCUUUGGGAUACAUUUAUUUCUUUCUCGGAUUGUAUGUUUUUGCUAACAUUUGUUUUGGGUUUUUGGAGGUGAUCUUCAUGUUUUGGGUACCACAAUCGAUGACGCUUGGAAAGAGAUUGAAGGGAGUAGAGGAACAAGUUCUGAUGUCUACUGCCUAUCCAACCCAGUGACUCUUAUUCGCGGUUGAGUGUUGGUCCUUCCUUCACAUAUGAAGCAUUUUCUCCUUUUUUCUAGGUUUGGCUCCAGUUCUUCAAAGCGAUCACUCAUCUUUUUCCUUCUUCUUUUGUAUUUUUGUUGAUUGCGAUUUCAUCUUCUUCUGCUUAACAACUAAAACCCCAAAAUCCCUAAACCAUUUUGUCAACAGCAGGAGCAAAGGUCGUCACAAGGGUCCAUUCAAUCUUCAAAACUAAAAGCAUAUCCAGACCAACGAGGUGUUGUUUAUGAAUAUGUUUUUUGAUCUGGGUGUUACUUAUAUAAUCUCGGUUUCUUGAUGUUAUUAUUUUCUUUAUAUGAUUCUGCAAAAUGAAGGUAUACCUGAAAAUAAAGUGGCUAAUCUGUUGCUUAAAGUCUUUGUUUGUACCUACAAGAUGAACAUCACAAAUAAUUAAUGAAUGGAUAACUAUUAAAAGGGAAAGAUUACCUGAAAAUUUUCAACUGAGUGCUCAGUUAUUGAAGUUGACUUGGUGGACUUGAUUCCGGUAACAAAUUUCAAGUCUUGCUUUGAAAAAAAAAAACAAUUUUGGUAAGAUUUCAAGCUUUUUACUUUGUUUGUUAUUAAAGAAUUGUUUUCAUUGUUACUUACUUUGAUUUACGUUCAUGUUCUUAAGAUUUUUUUGAUCUUAAGGUUAUCCAAUGUUCUUUGUCAGCUAAUGAGCUUGGCCAAUUGUUAAGACAUUUGCUUGAAUUGGUUAUGUAUUCAUUUGCUGUGCUUAUGUUCCAAUUUUAUAUUUGUUUGAAUUGGUUAUGUAUACACGUUUUUAACUUUCUUUCUUUACUUCUAUUUGUAAUGGUAAUGAUUUAAAGGGAGGAGACAUGACGAUACAUGAGGUGAGACAACUGAGGUCAAUAGAUUUACCUGUGGGGAGUAACAUCCUUCCAAUUCUGAACGUCCGCCAUGUGCACACUGAAACGAAAAGAUUUUGCCUUUUUUCCCUUUGGAGAAGAGCAUGACGGGAGAGCCUGGAGAUGUAUAAUGGGUCUUUUUCAGCCUUUUGCCUCAUUUCAUAUGAAAACAGUCACAAUAGCCUUUUGCUUGUUUUAUGUUUAAAUGACUGAUCCUCUACUUUUCUUAUUCUUCUUUUUUAGCUCAGUGCUCAUUGCUCAUUCCGAACACAGAACAUGCCAACAUGGGGUUGAAGGCCAGUUACCUUUUUAAUAGUUGAGUUAGCAGCAAAUCUAUAAUUUAGAGUUGUGAUUUGUUGGAAGGGUGGAGUAGCAAGGAACUUUAAUCACUUUUGGUGUAAUGACACAGCUACCUACACUAUAGUGAAGUGCUUGGGCUUAGAUUGUUGGGACAAUAUCUUGACAUUUCUGUGUGAUGGAAUAAAUUUUGAUCAGCUACCAUCUCUAGCUUGCAGAGAGAUUGAAAUGUAUGCGAAGCAUAGAACUAUCAUUUUAGCGGUCUUGAUAUUUUUCCUUCCUACAAGCAAGAAAAAACAACGAAGGAAUAGAAAGAACAAAGCAUAUGCAGUUGUCGGACACUCAAAAGUGGGGAGAUUGCCUCAAUCUAUAUGGCAAUCUUUUGUAGUGAAAUCACAUCUACCAUUUUGUGAUGAGCUAAUGGUUACAUGUAUAUAGAAUGUAGCUGCCACAGCUGAGUAGACACAAUGUAACUUUACUCAAAUGAUUUUGCUUCAUUUUAUUACAUCCAUCUUUCAGUUU